rnacentral:tRNA from 1 species
GAGUAUAUUCAGCGCGUUAAAGCGUAAGUUCGUUAAAAACCCUCACCCCGAUGGGGCGAGGGUUCAUUUCAUCAGUGUGCGUCAAUA